GUGCCAGCAGCCGCGGUAACACGUAGGGUGCGAGCGUUGUCCGGAAUUAUUGGGCGUAAAGAGCUCGUAGGCGGUGUGUCGCGUCGGCCGUGAAAACCUGGGGCUUAACUCUGGGCUUGCGGUCGAUACGGGCAUCACUGGAGUUCGGCAGGGGAGACUGGAAUUCCUGGUGUAGCGGUGAAAUGCGCAGAUAUCAGGAGGAACACCGGUGGCGAAGGCGGGUCUCUGGGCCGAUACUGACGCUGAGGAGCGAAAGCGUGGGGAGCGAACAGGAUUAGAUACCCUGGUAGUCC
rnacentral:rRNA from 1 species